ACGAAGGGUGCAAGCGUUACUCGGAAUUACUGGGCGUAAAGCGUGCGUAGGUGGUUGAUUAAGUCUGUUGUGAAAGCCCCGGGCUCAACCUGGGAAUUGCAGUGGAGACUGAGGGGCUAGAGUGUGGUAGAGGGGACUGGAAUUCCUGGUGUAGCAGUGAAAUGCGUAGAGAUCAGGAGGAACACCAGUGGCGAAGGCGGCUACCUGGACCAGCACUGACGCUGAGGCACGAAGGCGUGGGGAUCAAACGG
rnacentral:rRNA from 1 species